rnacentral:rRNA from 1 species
CCGGCACGGGUGAGUAACACGUAUCCAACCUGCCGUCUACUCUUGGACAGCCUUCUGAAGGAAGAUUAAUACAAGGUGGCAUCAUGAGUCCGCAUGUUCACAUGAUUAAAGGUAUUCCGGUAGACGAUGGGGAUGCGUUCCAUUAGAUAGUAGGCGGGGUAACGGCCCACCUAGUCUUCGAUGGAUAGGGGUUCUGAGAGGAAGGUCCCCCACAUUGGAACUGAGACACGGUCCAA